CGUAGGCGCGAGCGUUGUCCGGAAUUAUUGGCGUAAAGGGCUUGUAGGCGGUUGGUCGCGUCUGCCGUGAAAUUCUCUGGCUUAACUGGGCGUGCGGUGGUACGGGCUGACUUGAGUGCGGUAGGGAGACUGGAACUCCUGGUGUAGCGGUGGAAUGCGCAGAUAUCAGGAAGAACACCGGUGGCGAAGGCGGGUCUCUGGGCCGUUACUGACGCUGAGGAGCGAAAGCGUGGGGAGCGAACAGGAUU
rnacentral:rRNA from 1 species